AACAAAAGCUCCCAACUCAUUCUCUCCAAGACCUCCAUUUUUGAAGCUUUGAAGCUCCAAGGAAGAAAACCAAAUUGUUCAAGUUUUUCAAUCCAAUUUCGUGGGAUUUAUUCAAAUAAGGUAAGAGCCUUUGCAAAGUGAAUUGAUUGAAAAGGCUAAGUAAUGGUGAUGAUGAUGAUUGGAAGGUGGUGGCAAGUGAGGAGUUACAAUGGGAAUAUCGAAAA